GAUGAAGAACGUAGCGAAAUGCGAUACUUGGUGUGAAUUGCAGAAUCCCGUGAACCAUCGAGUCUUUGAACGCAAGUUGCGCCCGAAGCCACUAGGCCGAGGGCACGCCUGCCUGGGCGUCACACGUCGUUGCCCCCCCAUCUACUCCUUCGGGAUUGCGGGGGGGCGGAUGAUGGCCUCCCGUGCGCCUAGCCGCGCGGUUGGCAUAAAUACCAAGUCCUCGGCGACGCACGCCACGACAAUCGGUGGUUGCGAAACCUCGGUUGCCCGUCGUGUGCGUUCGUCGCGCAUCGAGGGCUCGAAAAAAUGCUCGGCUUCGGCUCAGCUUUCAACGCGACCCCAGGUCAGGCGGGGUUACCCGCUGAAUUUAAGCAUAUCAAUAAGCGGAGGA
rnacentral:misc_RNA from 1 species